CAGUAGCCGCGGUAAUACGAAGGGUGCAAGCGUUACUCGGAAUUACUGGGCGUAAAGCGCACGUAGGCGGCUUGGUAAGUUAGAGGUGAAAGCCCGGAGCUCAACUCCGGAAUUGCCUUUAAGACUGCCGAGCUAGUAGGUGAGAGAGGUAAGUGGAAUUCCGAGUGUAGAGGUGAAAUUCGUAGAUAUUCGGAAGAACACCAGUGGCGAAGGCGGCUUACUGGCUCAUUCUAGACGCUGAGGUGCGAAAGCGUGGGGAGCAAACAGGAUUAGAUACCCCCGUAGUCCCUGUCUCUUAUAA
rnacentral:rRNA from 1 species